CACCUCCUCCCCUCCCCUCUCGCUUUCCCGUAGGCGCCGCAGCUGCAGCAGCGGAGCUCUAUGGAGCAGCUGGCCCAGUUCGCUGCCUUCCCCCUCCUCCCAAGGCUCUGGAGGUGGCGGGAUGGGCGAUUCGCUGCGGCUGAACCUCCUCCCAAGGAGAACAUCCCGGCAAGCAGGCCUCUGGGGCUUAGGUUUUGGGGAAAGGGUCUGGCUCGGAUGAGUUCAGAGUGAUGUUACGGAAAGCAAUAAAGCUGCUUCCAAGUCUUCGUGUGCAGCCAUGUAAUUGUGAAGACGCUGAAGAGACCGGGGAGAUUCUGGUGCAGGUAUCCCCAGUGAUGGAAACUCAACGAAUAUCUGCCUUGAGCUCCUGAAGAAAAAUUGAAAUAUACGAUAUAUAUUUAACACAAAAAUUUUUGAAAAAAAAGAAUGAAAAAUAUAUGUUGGGCAAAUAUUGUACAAGUCGAUGCUGCAAGGAAGUAGAACUAUAGUUUAGAAAAACUUUCCCCAACAAAGAGUCCUUCAAUCAAUCAGAAUAGAGUUGGAAGGGACCUUGGAGGUCUUCUA